AUUGAACGCUGGCGGCAUGCCUUACACAUGCAAGUCGAACGGCAGCACGGGGCAACCUGGUGGCGAGUGGCGAACGGGUGAGUAAUGCAUCGGAACGUGCCAUUGAGUGGGGGAUAACGUAGCGAAAGUUGCGCUAAUACCGCAUAUUCUGUGAGCAGGAAAGCAGGGGACCGCAAGGCCUUGCGCUCUUUGAGCGGCCGAUGUCAGAUUAGCUAGUUGGUGAGGUAACGGCUUACCAAGGCGACGAUCUGUAGCGGGUCUGAGAGGAUGAUCCGCCACACUGGAACUGAGACACGGUCCAGACUCCUACGGGAGGCAGCAGUGGGAAUUUUGGACAAUGGGCGCAAGCCUGAUCCAGCCAUGCCGCGUGAGUGAAGAAGGCCUGG
rnacentral:rRNA from 1 species